rnacentral:rRNA from 1 species
AGAAUGAACGCUGGCGGCGUGCUUUACACAUGCAAGUCGAGCGAGGCGGGUAGCAAUACCCAGUCGAGCGGCGAACGGGUGAGUAACACGUGGAUCAUCUACCUUCAGGUGGGGGAUAACCCGGGGAAACUCGGGCUAAUACCGCAUAACAUCGCGAGAUCAAAGGGGCGCAAGUCCCGCCAGAAGAGGAGUCCGCGUUCGAUUAGCUAGUUGGUAGGGUAAUGGCCUACCAAGGCCACGAUCGAUA